AUCAGCUGUGUUGCAAGCUGCUGAGAGGUUGAGUCAGAGGAAGACAGACAUAACCUUUGAAUGGGGCAACGCAGAGACUGCCACUGACCUCGACCAGCAGUUUCAGUGGAAUGUGGGAUCCUGGUAAAAGGUGUUGGCACCCUUUCAAAAAAUUGUUGGUACCUUUGUACAGAGCUGUGGUCAUAUCAAUUGGCACAAUACUUUUGGAAAUUACAAUUGUUCCGUGAAAGGGCCAUUUACGCAGAGUGAUGCCCAAGUGUCAAAGAAGUCCAGAAACCAAAGCAGGAGGCUGUCAAAUCCAGUUUGUUGAUUUUAGGUCACUUACUAGGGCAACUUAAAGACAGAAGCAUGCUCUUGGGCAGCCACGAGAUACGUAGGUCUCUGUACUGCAACCCCCGAAACCCAGGGCCUCUAUCUCGGGGAAAAAGUGUAUGUGCUCUGAAAGUGUAUGUGGAAUAUAAUGUAUCUGGAAGUAUACGUGCUCUGGGAAGUGUAGGUGGCUACCAGCAUCACAGCCUAUUUCUGCAACAGCAUCAAGGGUUGCUUUGGAGGAAAAGCAAAACUUGAAAUGAAGAGGUAUUCCCACAGAAAGAGUAAUACAUCAACUAGACAUUUUGUUCCUGGACUUGAAGUUAGUCAGGUAGAUUAGCAUUUAAAAUAAAGUCACUCUUGGCUGGGCACAGUGACUAAUGCCUGUAAAUCUCAGCACUUUGGGAGGCCGAGGUGGAAGGAUCACUUGAGCCAAGGAGUUUGAGACCACCCUGGACAACAUAGCAAGACUUCAUCUCUAUUAAAAAAAAAAAGUAGCUGGGUAUGGUGGCACACAUCUUCAGUCCCAGGUAUUCAGGAGGCUGAGGCAGGAGGAUCGUUUGAGCCAGGAGGUCGAGGUUGCAGUGAACUAAGAUCAUGCCACUGCACUCCAGCAUGGUGGACAGAACAAAACCCUGUCUCAAAAGAAAAAAAGCCACUCUUGUCCACAACAAUUUGUACCAUGAACCACAAAAUUUUUCAUAUAUAUUUUGACCUAAUGAACUUUUUGAGGAAAAAGAGAUAAACACCAAAGAUAUGCAUAAACGUUUAUGACUAUAAAACAUUAAAAAUAACCAUAAUAUUCAAUGUUGUAGAAAUAAUGGAGUAAACUGUUACCCACUCAUUUGGCAGAAUAUUUUACAACCACUGUAAUUAGUGGUGUGCUGGACUCAGCCCAUACUGGCUUGAGAGAGCCAAUUGUGUGCAUUCUUCCCAACUCUGCAUUCCAUGAUGUCAUGUCAGUAGCAUGAAAUCAGCCAUGGUGGGAGUAUUUACACGAGAGAAAUUGGCAAACACUACCAAUUAGGGCUUACCCCAUCCCCAGAGAGCAAGUUGUUAAAACAUUUUCCAGCACACCAUUGGUAAGUGGUAUAUAUAAAAAAGAUACAAAAUUAUAAGUGUACCAUUGUCAUAACAAUGUUAAAAAUGAAUAUAAAGAUAAGACAUGGAAGGGACUAUAGAUGAGCUGAAAAAAGAUUGUGGAUAACUUAUUUUUUUAUUUCAAGCUCUGUUUAUUGCUAUAGUCUUAUUUAUAUAAAAACACAUUUUUUAAAUGUUUAAAUCUGGUCUUCUGUUUUCACUAUGACCAAAUAAUUUCCUAUGAAUUCAUCCUCUCACAUAUACAAAAUAUAAUCUCUGGAAAACACACACACACACACACACACACACACACACACACACACACAAACUGCAUACAGACACUGGAGAGUGAAAAAGGCAGGCAGAUUCUGAAGCAGAGUCAACAUUUGGAAGAGGGAAACAAUAUAAAAUAAAGUGUCCCAUUUUUAUGACAGUUAAUUUGAAGGCAGGCUGCAGUUGGUACUGUGUGUAGAGCAGCUAAAACUUUGGUGGGAAAUUAGCAAUAUUUUCUGGCCUGAAGACCAGGAGACACAGUUUAGGGCACCUAAAGCCAUUUAGAAAAUGAGGAGGGAAUCCCAGAAGUGAGAGUCAGAGAAGGGAAUUCUCAAGUUCUGUGCAUAAACUGCCCACAUUGCUGGCUGCCCUGGAUCACACAUAUGUGGUACACAUUCAAACCAGCCCAGCUUGAGCUAGAAGACGUGAACUGAUUUUGAGCUGCUGCCCAAGAUACAGCAUUUGUAGCUAACAUCCAGCCAAGUUAACUCGCUUGUUCCUAAAACCAAACCAAACCAAAAAGCCAACUCUCUGGAAAAAACAACAGAAUCCAAAGUCUCCACAGCAUAACACUGACAAUGUCUUAGAAAAAAUCCAAGAAUAUCUGACAUAUAAAGAACCAGGAAAAUGUAGUCUAUUCUCAACGGAAAAGAAUCACAAAAUGACUCAGAUCCUGGAAUCAGGAAACACGACUUUAAAGCAGCUAUAUAAGCAUGAUUGAUGAGGUAAGAAAAAACAUACCUGCAAUAAAUGGAAAAGUAGGGAAUCUCAGAAGAAUCUACAAGAGUUUCUAUAGACAUCAUAGAAGUAAUUAAGUAAAAUUCUAGGACUAAAAAUUACAAGAUCUAAAAGAAAAAAUUAUGGAAUGGGCUUAACAGAAUGAUGAUGAAUCAAGAAAAAAAUCCAUAAACUUGAGGUUGGGUCAAUAGAACUUACUCAAUCUGAGAACAGAGAGAAAAACAAAAUUGAAAAAAUCUGAAAAGGGUUUCAGAGACCUGUGGAAUCUGUGGAACCUGUGGAACCUGUGGAACCUGUGUCUAACAUACUUACAGUUGAAGUCACAGAAGGAAAAGAAUGAGAGAAUGUAACAAAAAAUAUUAGAAGAAAUAAUGGCUGGACCUUUCCCAAAUAUGAUGAAAGACAUAAAUUUAUUGAUUUAAGAAACUCAAUAAACCUGAGGCAGAAUAAUUAUGAACAGGACCAUGUCUAAGCACAUCAUAGUCAAACUAUUGAAAAGCAAAAUGAAUGAGAUAGCGGUCAGAGAAAAACAACAUAUUACAUACAAGGAACAAAUAUGUGAAUGACUGCUAAUUUCUCAUCAAUAGUCAUAAAAACAUCCUUAAAGUGCUGAAAGAAAAAAUACAUUCAAUUCUAUAGCUAAUGAAAAUAUCCUUCAAGAAUGCGGGCAAAUAAAGACAUUUUCAGAUAAAACAAAAUUGAGAAAACUCAUUGCCAUCAGAGCUCUACAGGAAAUUAUAAAGUUUUUCUUCAUGCUAAAGGAAAAUAAUACCAGAU
rnacentral:lncRNA from 10 species